UACGGAGGGAGCAAGCGUUACUCGGAAUUAUUGGGCGUAAAGGGCGCGUAGGCGAUCUGACAAGUCUGGUGUGAAAGCCCACAUGUUAACUGUGGAAGUGCAUUAGAAACUGUUGGAUUUGAGUUCAGGAGAGGAAGGCAGAAUUCCCGGUGUAGCGGUGAAAUGCGUAGAGAUCGGGAGGAAUACCAGUGGCGAAGGCGGCCUUCUGGACAGUGACUGACGCUGAGACGCGAAAGCGUGGGGAGCAAACAGGG
rnacentral:rRNA from 1 species